AACAACCAAAAAAUUAAAAUAAAAAUAAAUAAAAAUUAUAACAGUCCAUUAAAUGUUUAAAGCCCAGUUACAUAACCAGUGACCCAAUAACUAAUGCCCUUCAGCCCAAUAUCAAUUACUAGCCCGUUGGGCCCAGUGUUUUGAGAAAGGAAACCCUACAGCGUCCUCAUCACUUCCGCGCCGCAACCACAGACGAGCCCCAGCCCCAGCGCCGUACGCUCAUGCCUCCACGUCAACAGCCCUCGUACACCCACGCCAAGCGCCAAUACGACAUUCGUACACGCGCCUUGCUCCGCACCUGUAAAUAAAAACAAACAAAAUGACAGUAGGACAACAGCAAAUGGCAGCAAAAAAAAAAUAGCAAGGAAUUUCUUUGUAUUUUUUCAUUUGAUUUCGGCUAUAAAGCCAUUUUUCUUUUAUUUGUAACGGGGGGAAACUCCUUUUUUAAAAAAGGCAAUAUACUCACAAAAAAAAGCUGAUUCGCAUAUUGAAUAGAAAGAAAUAACAAAAGGUGAUUUCUUUGGUUUUUCUUCUAGGGUUUUUGCUUUAGUUUUCUACGAGUUGAUUCGUUUUCUCGUUAAGCCUUUCUUCAUUGUUUUGUUAAGAGAUCAAAGAAUAAGAAAAGAAGGGCUUACCUUCGCGAACGAGCCAUCGGGGACGGUUUCCUCUUCGCUAAAAAUCAAAGCUCGGGAUCGAUCUCUCGAGGCUAAAACUCGGUCUCUAUACGAGGACCAAAGUGGGGAGAUAAGAUGGUUCCUCUACGUGCCAUCGCCUACCAACUUCAAUGGUGGAAUGAGGAUGGUCGGUUAGCAGAACGAAGAAGAGGGGGGGCACUUAGGUUUUUCCUCCCCUUUCCCAUCAUUUGUCUGCUGCGGCGCUUAGGAG
rnacentral:lncRNA from 1 species